UGGCAUGUAGUAUGUAGCGUUAUGGAAGUGAUAGAGAUGUUGAUAUUAUUCUUGAUUAAGUAAGAUGGCCCCCAUAUCCUCCAGCUCUCAGCUAACGCCUUAUUCACUUAAGUUCCAAGAGGACCCUCCUCCCUGAUGUGUCAUAUAUGACAUAUGCUGUACUGCUGUUAGAGUGAAGCCAUUACAAUAUGGCGCUUGCAC